CUAUGAUUUGCUGAAUCAUCCUGAGCUUCAGUUUUCUUUUAUAUAAAAUGCAGACAAUAAUUUCUCUCCUGCAGGCUUCUAUUUUAAGUUGAGUGAAAUGAGGUUGAUGAAGUACCUGGCAAAAUGCCUGCCACAUAAUGGGAGUUCAAUAAACUAUUAAUUUUAUAUUUUUACUAAUAACAAUAAUAAUUAUUUUUAUAUACUCAUUAGUUAAUGAUAAUGUACGUUAUAUCUUGUUAAACCAAUCACUCUCAGACAACUGCAACUACUGAGAGACCAAGGACUCACUUCCAGAACAGAAACAUGAGGACAAGAAGAUUUUACUUAUGGUAACUUGGGCAAUUGAAGAAUAGUGAGAUUGCCCUGAAGGAGGAAAAGUGGGAUGAACAUUUCUGAAUGAAGUCUUCUGAAGAAAGGUGUGUCAUGAUCAGAGGGUGAUCGAUGAUGAAAACUCUCUCAGGUUUCCUGGCCUCCUCAUUCUGCCUACUUGUUUGUUCAGUAUCUAUUCCAUGAUGGAUGCUUUCUGUGUUACCUUUGAAGACAACUGGAAGCAGUGUCUUUUAUCCGGUUAGAUGUAGCAUCACAUUAGAAGAAAAAGUGAGGAAAAUCUUGACGAUUUUUUCCUAGAGAAAAAGAGAUGUAAAGGAAGAACGUGCAAGCAUUGCACAAAGCUCAGCUGUUUCUCCUUUACCUCCUGAUGCACAUACCUUCUACCAAGACAUCUAUCCAAGGAUAUUGACAACUAUAAGCACUGAAAGGAAAAGGAACUAUGACAUGCCCUAUAUUUUCUUUUCCUUCUAUGUUGUCAUUUUCAGUGUAAGUGGUUGGCUUAAACAGGAAAUGAACACAGUAAGGAAGGAUAUGAUAAAGUAACUUGGUCAUUAGUGUUUCUUAGAAUUCCAUUGUGUUUUUUCUAUUUGAUUUAAGUUCUGGUUUGAACAGAAUGGAUGGCCUCUUUGGGCUGUCAGUGCUUGUGCUUAAUCAGAUGUUGAUGUAACAUGCCUCCCUUGCCUUGAUUUUUGUUGAACUCCUACUCAUUGUGAGUGCACAGGAAUUCUGUGCUCUGGGGGCAUCAUCAGCACUAUCUGUGAACAGGACAUUAAGGAAAGAUGGAUACCUAUUUUGCAUGUGUCUCCUCUGCACCAUUGUCCCAUUAGACUUCCCUUACAAGACGCAACUUCAAAGACAAAGAUUAUCAAGGGUUUCAAGCAGGCAACAACAAAAUAUUAAGCUAAGCACAGGGCCCUUCUUGAGUAUGGAGGCUUGUGAGACUAAAUAGAUCUCAUAACAAUGCAUUACAAAUUUUAGUACUGACAUGAUUAUAAAAAAUAAAGGUGAACAUGGGCACCGAAAUUAAGAAACAGUACUCACGUUGAGACUAUUCACAAGUUUCUAUUAAUAGCCUUUUUUUAAAUUAUAGAAAUAUAAGAGAAAAUCAUAAAGAAGAAAAUUUUAAACCCAAAGCAUCCAGUGUGGUAGGCAGAACUCUAGGAUGAUCCCCAUGACUCUUGUCUGGAUACAAUAUCUUCCCCUUUGAGUGGGGGGUGAAACUUGUGAAUAUGAUGGGGAUGUCACUCCCAGGACUACACGGCAUUAUGUGGCAAAAGGGAGAUUAUCCUGGGUGGGCCUGACUUAAUCAGGUGAGUCCUUUAAAAGUAGAGAGUUUUCACUGGCUGGUUGAGGAAGAGAAAGUCUGAAGGUCAUGCUCCAGCUGACCUGGAUGAAAGCAAACACCCAGGCUGUAAAUGGCCUGUUGGGGUCAUGUGGCAAGGAACUGCGGGCAGCCUUCUGGAGCUGGCAGGAAAACAAGGACUUCAGUCAUACGACCACAAGGAAAUGAAUUCUGCCAACAACCUGUGAGCUUGGAAAAGGACUCUGAGUCCUGAUGAAAACCGCAACUCUGGCUGACACCUGGCUUUCGGUCUGGAGCCUGAGCAGAGAAUCCAUCGAAGCUAUGCCUGAACUUCUGACCUACAGAAACUGUGAAAUAAUAAAUGUGUGUUGCUUUAAGCCGCUAAAUUUGUGGCAAUUUGUUAUGCAGUAAUAGAAAACUACUAUAUCCAGGAAUAACAUUUUGGCUUAUAUCUUUAUAGUCAUGUCUUUUAUAGCUUUCUCCCUACGUACAUAUGUACUUUUUUGUGUGUAACGGAAUUAUAAUAUUCUUUAAUCCUUUUUUAUUUACUGUACUGGAGAACAUUUUUUACCCCAUUAAACAAUUUUACCACACCUUUAAAAUAUAAAAAAUAGACAGAUCUCAUUCUCAUGAGGCUGGCUCUGAGUACAGAAUCAAAAUAUAUACUACCUGCAGGAUAUCAGAAAUAACAACAAACGAAUAAACCUAAAACGUAUCGCAGAAUUAUUGAAAUCACUGGAGAAAGCAAACUUGAAACUUCUAGAGUGAGUGAGUAUUAAUGGAAAAUAACCAAAUUCCUUUAUUUUUAGUAGACACAAGCAUUGUUUAAACAGCAAUAAUCAGAAAAGAUCCAAAACCAAUUGGGACAGUGUAUAACGAGCUUCUAUUUGUAAAAGAAACUAUGAUAUGGAAGUAGAACAUAAUGUAGAAAUGCGUAACUCAUAAGUACAUCCCGCUGAAUGCUUACAAAGUGAGCACACUUGGGUACCAAACAGGUCUGUAUAGAAACCACUAGAGCAACCUAGAAGCUCUUUCAUGCCCAUCUACACAUUAUUGUACCCUCUGUCCAAAAGGUAACCCUUAUCAUGAUUUCUAAAACCAUAGAAUUUGCUUUUUGAUAUUUGUAUUAAAGGCAAUCAUACAGUUUGCAUCUGGCUUCCUUUGCACAUUUUGUUUGUGAGAUUCAUAAAAGUUGUUGCGUGUAGCAAUAACUCAUUUAUUUUUAUUUCUGUAGAGUAAACCAUUUCCAAUACAAGUUAUUUCCUAUUUUAUCAUUGAUGCAUAU
ensembl:lncRNA